AUGAACGCUAGCGACAGGCUUAACACAUGCAAGUCGAGGGGCAGCACAGGUAGCAAUACCGGGUGGCGACCGGCGCACGGGUGAGUAACGCGUAUGCAACUUGCCUAUCAGAGGGGGAUAACCCGGCGAAAGUCGGACUAAUACCGCAUGAAGCAGGGAUCCCGCAUGGGAAUAUUUGCUAAAGAUUCAUCGCUGAUAGAUAGGCAUGCGUUCCAUUAGGCAGUUGGCGGGGUAACGGCCCACCAAACCGACGAUGGAUAGGGGUUCUGAGAGGAAGGUCCCCCACAUUGGUACUGAGACACGGACCAAACUCCUACGGGAGGCAGCAGUGAGGAAUAUUGGUCAAUGGCCGAGAGGCUGAACCAGCCAAGUCGCGUGAGGGAUGAAGGUUCUAUGGAUCGUAAACCUCUUUUAUAAGGGAAUAAAGUGCGGGACGUGUCCCGUUUUGUAUGUACCUUAUGAAUAAGGAUCGGCUAACUCCGUGCCAGCAGCCGCGGUAAUACGGAGGAUCCGAGCGUUAUCCGGAUUUAUUGGGUUUAAAGGGUGCGUAGGCGGCCUUUUAAGUCAGCGGUGAAAGUCUGUGGCUCAACCAUAGAAUUGCCGUUGAAACUGGGGGGCUUGAGUAUGUUUGAGGCAGGCGGAAUGCGUGGUGUAGCGGUGAAAUGCAUAGAUAUCACGCAGAACCCCGAUUGCGAAGGCAGCCUGCCAAGCCAUUACUGACGCUGAUGCACGAAAGCGUGGGGAUCAAACAGGAUUAGAUACCCUGGUAGUCCACGCAGUAAACGAUGAUCACUAGCUGUUUGCGAUACACUGUAAGCGGCACAGCGAAAGCGUUAAGUGAUCCACCUGGGGAGUACGCCGGCAACGGUGAAACUCAAAGGAAUUGACGGGGGCCCGCACAAGCGGAGGAACAUGUGGUUUAAUUCGAUGAUACGCGAGGAACCUUACCCGGGUUUGAACGCAUUCGGACCGAGGUGGAAACACCUUUUCUAGCAAUAGCCGUUUGCGAGGUGCUGCAUGGUUGUCGUCAGCUCGUGCCGUGAGGUGUCGGCUUAAGUGCCAUAACGAGCGCAACCCUUGCCACUAGUUACUAACAGGUAAAGCUGAGGACUCUGGUGGGACUGCCAGCGUAAGCUGCGAGGAAGGCGGGGAUGACGUCAAAUCAGCACGGCCCUUACAUCCGGGGCGACACACGUGUUACAAUGGCGUGGACAAAGGGAAGCCACCUGGCGACAGGGAGCGAAUCCCCAAACCACGUCUCAGUUCGGAUCGGAGUCUGCAACCCGACUCCGUGGAGCUGGAUUCGCUAGUAAUCGCGCAUCAGCCAUGGCGCGGUGAAUACGUUCCCGGGCCUUGUACACACCGCCCGUCAAGCCAUGGGAGCCGGGGGUACCUGAAGUCCGUAACCGCGAGGAUCGGCCUAGGGUAAAACUGGUGACUGGGGCU
rnacentral:rRNA from 1 species